GGAAUAAUAAGGAAAAUAAGAAAUGAAAGGAUUUAUGAAGAAAAGGCGUGUAUUGAAGAGGUUUGAAUGGAAAUUAACCUGAAGAUUCCGUGGAUGAUGAAAAAUCGAUUAAAACCAACGUUUGUUAAGAUCUUUUUUUAACCCCGAUAACCAUUAAUCAGAAGAAAAGCAUUCUUGUUUCGGAAUAAUACGGAAAAUACGAAAUAAAAGGAUUUAUCAAGAAAAGGCGCUUAUUGAUGAGAUUUGAAUGGAAAUUAACCUAAGGAUGCUGAAAAGUCGAUUAAAACCAAGAUUCAUCAAGAUUCUUUUUUAACUCCAAUAACAAUCAGAAGAAAAUGGUUUUUGUUUAUAUCUAAUUAGGAAUAAAAGGAUAUAUCAAGGUAAGAAAUAAACAUACAUUCACAAUUAAUUAAA
rnacentral:lncRNA from 1 species